rnacentral:rRNA from 1 species
UUAGAGUUUGAUCAUGGCUCAGAGUGAACGCUGGCGGUAGGCCUAACACAUGCAAGUCGAACGGCAGCACAGGAGAGCUUGCUCUCUGGGUGGCGAGUGGCGGACGGGUGAGGAAUACAUCGGAAUCUACCUUUUCCNGGGGGAUAACGUAGGGAAACUUACGCUAAUACCGCAUACGACCUACGGGUGAAAGUGGGGGACCGCAAGGCCUCACGCGAUUAGAUGAGCCGAUGUCCGAUUAGCUAGUUGGCGGGGUAAUGGCCCACCAAGGCGACGAUCGGUAGCUGGUCUGAGACCNUCAUCAGCCACACUGGAACUGAGACACGGUCCAGACUCCUACGGGAGGCAGCAGUGGGGAAUAUUGGACAAUGGGCGCAAGCCUGAUCCAGCCAUACCGCGUGGGUGAAGAAGGCCUUCGGGUUGUAAAGCCCUUUUGUUGGGAAAGAAAUCCUGUCGGUUAAUAACCGGUGGGGAUGACGGUACCCAAAGAAUAAGCACCGGCUAACUUCGUGCCAGCAGCCGCGGUAAUACGAAGGGUGCAAGCGUUACUCGGAAUUACUGGGCGUAAAGCGUGCGUAGGUGGUGGUUUAAGUCUGCUGUGAAAGCCCUG